UGGAUAACUGUGGUAAUUCUAGAGCUAAUACAUGCACCCMGUCCGUUCCCUCGUGGAGCGGAUGCAGUUAUUUGCCCAAAACCAAUCCGGCCUUCGGGUCGGUCAAUUGGUGACUCUGAAUAACCGAAGCGGAGCGCAUGGUCUCGUACCGGCGCCAGAUCUUUCAAGUGUCUGACUUAUCAGCUUGUUGUUAGGUUAUGUUCCUAACAAGGCAUCAACGGGUAACGGAGUGUCAGGGCCCGACACCGGAGAGGGAGCCUGAGAAACGGCUACCACAUCCAAGGAAGGCAGCAGGCGCGCAAAUUACCCACUCCCGGCACGGGGAGGUAGUGACGAAAAAUAACGAUGCGAGAGCUUUAUGCUCCUCGUAAUCGGAAUGGGUACACUUUAAAUCCUUUAACGAGGAUCUAUUGGAGGGCAAGUCUGGUGCCAGCAGCCGCGGUAAUUCCAGCUCCAAUAGCGUAUAUUAAAGUUGCUGCGGUUAAAAAGCUCGUAGUUGGAUCUGGGUAGUCGAUGGACGGUGCGCUUUACGGCGUCUACUGUUCGUUCGGCACCACAUGCCGGCCAUGUCUUGCAUGCUCUUCACUGAGUGUGCUUGGCGACCGGAACGUUUACUUUGAAAAAAUUAGAGUGCUCAAAGCAGGCGUUAAGCCUUGCAUAAUGGUGCAUGGAAUAAUAGAAUAGGACCUCGGUUCUAUUUUGUUGGUUUUCGGAACUCGAGGUAAUGAUUAAUAGGAACAGACGGGGGCAUUCGUAUUGCGGCGUWAGAGGUGAAAUUCUUGGAUCGUCGCAAGACGCACUACUGCGAAAGCA
rnacentral:rRNA from 1 species